CAGAGCCGGGGAGAGGGAGUCUUGCAAGCAGGACUACUGUAGGUUGUACAGGUUGGCAUUCUUCAGCUUCCUGAGAGGCCUUGAGACCCCUGCCUUCUGGAAUUCCAUCCCCGAAUAAGCAAACUUUGGAUCUGCACACUUACUCAGGAGAGCUGACCUUAACAUUUGCAGGAGAAGGACAUAAGAUCAGAGACCUUCAAAUUACCUCUCUGUAUUCCUUGCUGCCUAGACUGCCUUGAGAAGGUCCAUUGGACAAGAAAGUUGACCCAGAAUUUCUAAAAACAACAACAACAACAACAACAACAACAACCCAGCAUAUACAUUUCCAGGCUGGCUUGAUGCACCCAUCUGGGAUAGAGACUGUCUUUGAAACACUGGGAAAGGCAAAAGCCAGGAUGUUCACUCACCUGACAGAAGCUGUGGCAGGUUGACAGGUGUGUGCUUAUUUCUCUGCUCCUUACUCUUAACAUUUAAUUUACAAUUUGGCAAUGUUGCUGUCUGCACAGAUUUAAUUCCAUUUAUUUCCAUAAUUCAGACGGGAGGGUCCAUGAGACUGUGAUGUAGGAAAACCCUGAGAUGUGGGAGAUAUUACUGAUCACACUACAGGAUUAAUUCUGUGGUUAGGAUAAGUAGGCUGCUACCUUUCUGGUAGUGCUUGUGAACUACUUCAAGUGGCAAAGGAACCUCGACAAGUGAAACAAGGCAUGGCACUGAAAUUGUGAUAGGAAAUAUGUCACUGCUGGGUUUCUAACUGUAUCCCAGUUUGUUCAAGAUAAGGCAAAUAGUGAGUCAAAUGUUGGAGUGUAGAAACAGACGGUUCAUGAUUUUCUGCAAGGGUCUUUAGCCCCACUUUGUGCAUUUGCAGGUGUGGUUUAAAUUUGAACCAUAUCUGCAAAGGGACAACUUCAAAGGUGCUCACUGUCAGCUCUGUCAGAAAACCCUGCUCCUCGAAAACCAGUGUAGGGCAUACAUUAGGCUUCCAAUUGUUUCUUUACAGCUGACUGUACCUGCCCCAGAUCUCACAUUCUAUAUGACAUCAGGUGUUGGGCAGGUUGGUGUGGUUGCAGAGUUAAGAGUUGGCUGUGAUGUGGCCUAGAAUCAUAGAAUCAUAGAGUUGGAAGAGACCACAAGGGCCAUCCGCCUAGAGGCGGAAGAGGUUGCAGGCUGGUAACGAUAGCAAGCUGCGGUCCGGAGAGGGUCAAAGCACAAUGGUUAACGUCGGUUGAAUCUAGAGCUGUGGCUAUAGGUUUCAGGCACUUACCCAGGGUCCGUGUUUCCGUUUGGAAAUGAGACACAGUGGUAUAUGAUAUAUACGUAGUUUAUUUACACUUAUAUACAACUUGAGCCUACAAUGGAGGUGUUCACAGCAACAACAGUCCAAGAAGGUCUUGCUUUUCUCAUAGCUGCAGCCGUGGAUUCAAAACAAGACAUCAGCCAUUGUGCUCUGACCCUCUUUUCAGCUUGCUGGCUUUACCAGAGUGUAGCAUUUCCCCUCCAGGUCACAGCACAGCGAACUCUAAAACUCUCCUUCCAACUCUGCUUUGUCUUCAACACUACGUCUGAGCCAAGGUCUCACCUGCUUGCCAUCCAGCUCUCCUAACGGCUCAUUACCUUUGUCUUUCUAAUGUCCCAUCACCAACUGUCUUGGCUUCUAUUUUGAAUUUUGGCUUGAUUAAAUUCUAACCCCUAAUGGACCCAGGAAUUUAGGGUGUCUGGCACCCACAAACACAUUGCAUUGUGUUGCAGUAGAGUUUAACUAUUAAGUGCUUUGGGAGCCCAUGGCUGACAAAAAAAGUGUGAUAAUUCUAGUACUGGCUUGCCUUGGUCUGCAGUUUGUUUUUGUUUUAUUAUGUAUUUUGUCUUCUUGUUUCGUAUUUUUCUGUUGUGAACCACUCAUCUUUGGAUGAAGGGUGAUAUACAAAUUUAAUAAUAAUUCUUUCCAACACCUGCUGCUUCCUCCUCCUCCUGACUAAUGUAAAGGUAAGUAGUAAGGAAGCAGGCAGAGGGCAUUCUCAGUAGUGGCGCCCACCCAGUGGAAUGCCCUCUCAUCAGAUGUCAAGGAAAUAAACAACUAUCUGACUUUUAGAAGACAUCUGAAGGCAUCCCUGUUUAGGGAAGUUUUUAAUGUUUGAUGUUUUAUUGUGUUUUUAAUAUUCUGUUGGGACCCGCCCAGAGUGGCUACAGAAACCCAGCCAGAUGGGUAGGGUAUAAAUAAUAAAUUGUUAUUAUUAUUAGGGACCAGGCACUUAAGCUGCAGUCCUGUACAGUAUUAGUUUAUGCAAAGCUUACUUGUGAGUCUACGUGAAUAGGCUUUCACAAGUCUAGGAUGCUGCUUGAGACAAAGUCCAGGGUGAAAUUGGGCUACAUAACUGCCUAGAAGUUCUGAAGGUGACCUUGGUGUAAAAAAAUAAAAUAAAAUCUGCUGUGAAUCCUCUUACUGAAAACUGGGCAAAAGCACUAGCAAUAUCAUUGGUUGUGUGCAUCUAGGUGCCAGUGGGCAACCCCUUAAUAUUUAAAAAUGCCUUUCUAAGAACAUGAGCUUUGGACAUAAUAUUUAACUCUGACUUUUAAAUAUAUUAAUGCCCAUACUUGCGAGACCCUUUUGCAUGUGCUGUAACAGACUAGGCACGGCUCUCCCUCUGGAGUAACAGUAGAAAAUAGCUCAGUGCUUGUCAUCUUGAAGUGAAAGUUAGUGCUUCUUGGGUAAACUGCAGAUGAGAUCUGUGUUUGAAGUUUACAAUCUAGGUUAGACGAUGCAGUAAGGCGGAUGAUAAUCGGGCAAGAGAGGGGUGGGUGUUCAGGGAAGCUUGCAGAAUGAGACUUUGAGGCUGCCUUUUUCUUGUAAGGUAGGAAUUGUAUUGCAAACUGAUUCUUUUUUCAAUUGAUUUAUUAUAAGCUUGGAAUCAAUGGGCUGCUUCUAAGUGUGGUUUGAGAAAACACUAGCUGUUAAAAUGGGAUCUGUGUAUGUUGAUAUACAAAAAUUAAGCUGUAUCUUGAUCCUUGGAGGGAUUUCUUCCCUUUUUUUCAGUCAAUGAAAAGGGCAACACAAAGGCAUUAGCGUUUCAACUGCAAAGUGAUGCUUAUUGGGAACAAUGUUUCCAACUUUAGGUAUAUACUGAUUGGAUCUGAACUGUAACUGCUUGGGAAAUUGCUGUUGGGGUCAUCAGGUUGGUUAGCAAGGAAAUGUCAAGAAGACGGUGUUUGGCAGGAAAGGAAAGAUACAUUCCAUGCUAGGGCUGAGUAAGGAGGGGAAUGAUAAUUAAACAGCCAGUAUUGUAAUGCCUGCAUAAAAAUAUCUGGUGUGGCUGCAUUUGGCUGUAGAAUUGAAAAAGACAAACAACAUCAAGAGGUGGGAGCACUUUCCGUAUGAUGAAAAGCUAACAUGUUGGGGCGCUUUAGCUGACUUACGGGGAGGCUCAGUGAUUUGGGGGUAGAAAUUUUUCCACAGACAUUUCCCCCAAAUGGAAUCUCCCCCCCCCCGGUGUUUAUUUUUUCUGCCAAUAUGAUUCUAUGAAGUUUGUGUUUCAUAAUUUUAUUAGGAACAAUGAACGGAUGCCAUUUGCAAAUGCAGUAUUAGGCAAGCUUGGCCAUUUCAAAGCUGUCAGCUUGGUUUACUGAAUGCACGUGAAACGAACCUGCAACAUUAGACCGCUCAGUAAAUUUUCCAGUGGAAAUUAUUGUAAUUUGCAUAGGAAGAUUUUCCAAUUGAAAAUGUUCGAGGGAACCCACGUGAUCACUAAGGUGGGGCUCUGCAGUUCAGGGUAGAGCAGGGGUAGGCAACCUCAGGCCCGUGGGCCAGAUGCAGCCCAAUCACUUUCUCAAUCCGGCCCACAGACUGUCCGGGGAUCAGCAUGUUUUUACAUGAGUAGAAUGUGUCCUUUUCUUUAAAAUGCACCUCUGGGUUAUUUGUGGGACAUAGGAAUUCCCCCCCCCAAAAUAUAGUCUGGCCCACCACAUGGUCUGAGGGACGGUGGACCGGUCCAUGGCUGAAAAAAGUUGCUGGCCCCUGGGGUAGAGAACAUGUGUCGCUUGCAAAUGAUCCCAGGUUCUAUUCCCAGCAUCUCCAGGUAGGACUCUGAAAUCAUGGUGAGCUUCUACCAAUCAGUGGGGAACAGGGGUGGGGAGAUUUGAGCCUGGGGGCCAAAUUCAUCCCUCUAGUGCACUCUAGUGCCUUUGACUGUGUCGACCACAGCAAACUAUGGCAAGUUCUUAAAGAAAUGGGAGUGCCUGAUCACCUCAUCUGUCUCCUGAGAAAUCUCUAUGUGGGACACGAAGCUACAGUUAGAACUGGAUAUGGAACAACUGAUUGGUUCAAAAUUGGGAAAGGAGUACGACAAGGUUGUAUAUUGUCUCCCUGCUUAUUUAACUUAUAUGCAGAAUUCAUCAUGCGAAAGGCUGGACUAGAUGAAUCCCAAGCCGGAAUUAAGAUUGCUGGAAGAAAUAUCAACAACCUCAGAUAUGCAGAUGACACAACCUUGAUGGCAGAAAGUGAGGAGGAACUAAAGAACCUUUUAAUGAGAGUGAAAGAGGAGAGCGCAAAAUAUGGUCUGAAGCUCAACAUCAAAAAAACCAAGAUCAUGGCCACUGGUCCCAUCACCUCCUGGCAAAUAGAAGGGGAAGAAAUGGAGGCAGUGAGAGAUUUUACUUUCUUGGGCUCCUUGAUCACUGCAGAUGGUGACAGCAGUCACAAAAUUAAAAGACGCCUGCUUCUUGGGAGAAAAGCAAUGACAAACCUAGACAGCAUCUUAAAAAGCAGAGACAUCACCUUGCCGACAAAGGUCCUUAUAGUUAAAGCUAUGGUUUUCCCAGUAGUGAUGUAUGGAAGUGAGAGCUGGACCAUAAAGAAGGCUGAUCGCCGAAGAAUUGAUGCUUUUGAAUUAUGGUGCUGGAGGAGACUCUUGAGAGUCCCAUGGACUGCAAGAAGAUCAAACCUAUCCAUUCUUAAGGAAGUCAGCCCUGAGUGCUCACUGGAAGGACUGAUCGUGAAGCUGAGGCUCCAAUACUUUGGCCACCUCAUGAGAAGAGAAGAAUCCUUGGAAAAGACCCUGAUGUUGGGAAAGAUUGAGGGCACUAGGAGAAGGGGACGACAGAGGACAAGAUGGUUGGACAGUGUUCUCGAAGCUACGAACAUGAGUUUGACCAAACUGUGGGAGGCAGUGCAAGACAGGAGUGCCUGGCGUGCUAUGGUCCAUGGGGUCACGAAGAGUCGGACACGACUAAACGACUAAACAACAACAACAAAAUUACUCUUGUAUUUUGUUGAGGUUCUAGCCUGUAUUAUUUGAAGGAAGUGAGUGUACUAUGUGACAAAGACUCAAUAGAGUUACUCAGGUGUAUGUUGUCAGCAGUUUGGGCUCAUGGUGGGCAUAUUCCCCCAUUCAAUAUGUCAUUCCCCCAUGAUGAGCAUUGCCUUUAAAAAUGCAAUGAAUUCCAGGUUUUGUUUACUUUGAAUAUUCAUUUCAACUUUAUUUUACAUACAUCAUCAUAACCAUUAUUAAAUGAUUCAUAAUAAAAUCCCUGAAAACAACAAAAACAUCAACUCUAUAUCAUAUGUAUAAUUCCAUAAUUCACAUUUAUUGUUAUUGUAAAACACUGACGAAACAUAUCACAUCUUGCUUUUUUUAUAUAUAUAUUAACCUUCUGUAUACUCAGGACACAAAGUUCCUCAGGACACAAAGACUGCAUCUUAAAAAGCAGAGACACCACUCUGAGUUUGACCAAACUGUGGGAGGCAGUGCAAGACAGGUGUGCCUGGCGUGCUAUGGUCCAUGGGGUCACAAAGAGUCGGACACGACUAAACGACUAAACAACAACAACAACAAAGUGCACUCACUCCCACUCUCCCCAAAUCAGAGCCCUCACAUGGGCCCUGAGCUGCACCCUCCUUGGGUGGUUUUUUUUCCUAGCUGGAAUGUAUCCUUGAACUCUGAUAAUGCCUCCAGUUUGCCUGGAUAGAGGAUACAGCAAGGCAGUGCACAUCUUACAAAUUUCCAAUAAGCGCAAUAAGAACUCCAGUAAAUAUUGGUUGGUGAAAAGAAAUUCUCAUUGCAGAGUCCUGUCUGAAUGAUGGCAUUUUUUUUUUUUUGGAGAUGUCUAAAACAAUGAAAGAAUGGUUCCUGCCAAUCACUUAUUCCCCUGAGGUUCUUUCCACCAAUAUUAAGAGUGGGGAACUGCAAGUACCGUAGUGCCCCGUCAGAGGGUUGCAGUGAUCAAGAUGGAAAAGUAUGCAUUAAUAUUACUGAAAAUGUGUUUAUUAGGGGAGAUUCACAGUAAAACAAAGUUGACAUUCUUAUGAUUUUCUUUUAACCAUGGCAAAUUUCUGUGGAAAUGUACAUAACUCAGUUUAAGAUUAGAGAAAUGAGAUGCUGAGAGGAACCGAAAUGACUAAUUUGCCUGUCCCUGGGCUGGAUCACAGCUACAUUAUAGGAGGACAGUUGGUGAUGAAUGUGAAGUUUAUCCAAGUCAGGGUGGAAUCCUAAUAAAGAUGGAUGUGGACCAGAGCAGUCUGGGAAAGUGAGGCUUUAGUGGACUCCACGUGAAAUUAUUCACCGUAAAGUUGCAGCUGGAGUGAAGCUUAAGAGAUUGAUGCAGCUUUGGGUCAAGCUGUCCUCUUCACCUCCAAAACGUCUCAUCCUGAUUCUCUAAACAAUCUCUCUGAACUUGACCCAGCACUUCCUUGCAGAGGAGGUGGCUCAUUAUUUACAGCACGUACUCGAUGGUAGAGUUAGCCUGGCCUUGAAUAAACAAAGAUGGAUCAGUUCCUUUCUUGUGUAUGAGCUGCGCUUGAGAUUUAGAUGGAACUUCAGUUUUGCUGGUGGAAAUUCAAGAGUAGAUCUGUUGUGGUUGAGGCAAUCCCAAGCUCCAUGCCCAAAACAUGAACUUUUAAGCUGAAGAGUGAAAAGCUAAAGUUACGAGAGUAACCGGUCUCGAUUAUGUUCGGUUCCUACUGAAAUACUUUCUUGCAAAUAAGUAGGGAUGUGUGGAUAUGUCAGUUUUUGUUUCUCUCAGCUUUUCAUUUUCCAAUCUUAAAUUCAGAUUUUCACAUUUCCAUGUCAGUCUGCAUUAAAAAGUAGGGGGGAAGGUAUGUGUGUUUUUUUGGUAAGGAAUUUGAUAGUGUUGGCAGUUCCCCUGGAAAUCUGAUGAGGAGGUGUGCAUUUGGGAUCUUUUUUGGAGUUAAGUUAUAUCUUCACCCAUAGGAGCCAACUCCUAGGGGCCAAAGUCCCUUUGAGGCCCCCAAUAAAAUAUUUGAGGGGGCCACUCCCCCCAAGUUGCUGGACACUGCCAUUCAAAUGGUGUGUGUGAAACACAUCUUGUGAUUGAUUAUGCAUGGCAGGGCUUACCUGCCUCCCCCAAUAUUUUAUUCAAAUGGGCACCCCUGUCUUCACUUAUGCUCAACCUGUAUAUAGGGAUAGAGAACAUGAAUACAUUGUGUGCCAUUUAAGUUUUCAUUGAUCAGAGAAUUGAUGCACACACAAUACCAGGUUUUUAAAGGUGUCAUAUCUCCCUAUCUCCAUUUGUUGGGAGACAUAUCUUCAAGUUCUCGCACUUCAAGUUCAAGCUAGUUCUGUCAUUGGAUAUGGUCAAUGACAAAUGGGGCCUCCAUGGUUAGCUGCAGUGUACUGGUGCUGGGAGCAAAUAGAAUGUGGUAGAAUGCCUUGCCUGAGGUUCCAGGGCAUGUUGCUGGUUACUGCUACAAGCAGAAUGCUGGAGUAGAAGAACCCUUUUUUUAUUCUUCCAGCUCUUGAGUCAAAGUGCAAUGGGUUUCUUUGUGUUUUUCCCAUAGCAAAACUGUCUUCUGAAUAAGUUUGUUUUCAUGCUCCUUUCUCUGGGCAUCAGGCCAGCAGUCUUAUUUUAUUGCUGUCUUUAUUAUGAUAAAAUGUGGGCAAAACAAAUUCCACAGUAGGUUUCACUAGUUAAAUAUUCUGAGACGCUGUUCUGUCCUUUUAUUGUGAGAGACAAAAUAAAAGACCAGGCAAAUAUCGCACGGGAGGACUUUAUAAAAUAAAGAAGGGCAGUAGCGCUCAUUCACUCAUGUUUCUCAGCAGCUGGAAUCCAGAGGCAUGCUCCUUUGAUACUGGAAGUUAUGACUAGUGGCCAGUAAUAGUAGCCUUAUUCUCCACGAGUUUGUCCAAUUCACUUUUAAAGUCAUCCAGUUUGGUGGCCAUCCAGGUUCUUCAUUGUUCAUUGCACAUUUGCACAUAGGAGGGGAGGGAUUUUUAAAAGCCUGCUUUUAUGAUUUUCUCUCUCUCUUCCUCCUUCUGUGACAUUGGCCUUGAUCCAGCAUUGUUAAUAUAACUGCAGGGUGGGAGCAACUGUGAUUGUAGAAGAAAAGGCGAGUUUUCUUAACUAUAUGUCUAGCUUUAGGUUAUCCUGGUGAGGCUUCUUGAUUGGACUGGAAGAAAUUUCUGGUCCAGUCAAUUUCACUCUUAAGGUAAAUUUAACUUGCAUAGGAUCUUCCCUUGCUUCUGUGAAUAGGUUAUGUUAAUGCACUAUAAUGAAACAAGCCAGCCCAGUUCUGUCCACCACUCUUUAAUAGACUACCGCAACAAUUGCAGAAAAAUCUAUACAAGUCUACCGAAUGUCUCACUGACCUGGGCAAAUCAUUUCAGCAUUCUCCUUUGAGAAAGGAGAAUAGUGCUUGUGCUGUGAUGCGCAAUGCAUGUUCAUAAAAUGCUUGGAAAGCUUUGAAUGAGAGUAACUGAGCUUGUGCCAAGUAUGAUGUAUCAAAGGGGCAGCUCCUCUGCCUUGUGAUCUGUGUCUCAGAGAAAGGCAGGACAAUCCCGGGUGAAAUCCUUGGAAAGGGAGGCUGACGGCGGGCUGUUGUUUACAGGACAUCACUCACUGGUUCCUGAAUUUUGCUUCUGCACUCCUGUUCGAAUAAGAUCUCAUAAAGCACGGGCGAGAGAGGUUAGAACAGACGAUCAAGACCUCCAGUUCCAGACUGUGUUCCUA